rnacentral:tRNA from 2 species
GGCCUCGUAGCUCAGCUGGAUAGAGCAACGGACUUCUAAUCCGUAGGUCGCAGGUUCGAAUCCUGCCGAGGUCACCA